GCGCGGACGCGCCUAUACUGUAACGGUUGAACAUAACUGUACACCAAGAGCCAAGAAGAGUCAUACUAGUGGAUAUUUUCUUUGCUGGGACACGGUUGCGCUGAACCCUCUCGACGUCAACUUUUAUCGGCUGGAUUCUAGCAUCUAACGUUACGAUUGCCUCUGUUGGGUUUGCUUGAUCAACCAUCGUUUCGAGGACUCUGAUGAAAAUG